UACGGAGGGUGCAAGCGUUAUCCGGAUUCACUGGGUUUAAAGGGUGCGUAGGUGGGAAUGUAAGUCAGUGGUGAAAUCUCCGUGCUUAACAUGGAAACUGCCAUUGAUACUAUGUUUCUUGAAUCUUCCGGAGGUCAGCGGAAUAUGUCAUGUAGCGGUGAAAUGCUUAGAUAUGACAUAGAACACCAAUUGCGAAGGCAGCUGACUACAGGGGCAUUGACACUGAGGCACGAAAGCGGGGAUCAAACAGG
rnacentral:rRNA from 1 species